UACGGAGGAUCCAAGCGUUAUCCGGAAUUAUUGGGUUUAAAGGGUCCGUAGGCGGUUUAGUAAGUCAGUUGUGAAAUCCCAUCGCUCAACGGUGGAACGGCCAUUGAUACUGCUAGACUUGAAUUUUUAGGAAGUAACUAGAAUAUUUAGUGUAGCGGUGAAAUGCUUAGAGAUUACAUGGAAUACCAAUUGCGAAGGCAGGUUACUGCUAAUGGAUUG
rnacentral:rRNA from 1 species